GACGAACGCUGGCGGCGUGCCUAAUACAUGCAAGUAGAACGCUGAAGGAGGAGCUUGCUUCUCCGGAUGAGUUGCGAACGGGUGAGUAACGCGUAGGUAACCUGCCUGGUAGCGGGGGAUAACUAUUGGAAACGAUAGCUAAUACCGCAUAAGAGUAGAUGUUGCAUGACAUUUGCUUAAAAGGUGCAAUUGCAUCACUACCAGAUGGACCUGCGUUGUAUUAGCUAGUUGGUGGGGUAACGGCUCACCAAGGCGACGAUACAUAGCCGACCUGAGAGGGUGAUCGGCCACACUGGGACUGAGACACGGCCCAGACUCCUACGGGAGGCAGCAGUAGGGAAUCUUCGGCAAUGGACGGAAGUCUGACCGAGCAACGCCGCGUGAGUGAAGAAGGUUUUCGGAUCGUAAAGCUCUGUUGUAAGAGAAGAACGAGUGUAAGAGUGGAAAGUUCACACUGUGACGGUAUCUUACCAGAAAGGGACGGCUAACUACGUGC
rnacentral:rRNA from 1 species